GCAGUUCAGUGGUGGAGCAUCUGCUUGCUAUGUAGAAGGUCCCAGAUUUAAUCCCUGAGAUCAGUU
rnacentral:tRNA from 1 species